AGCUGGCAAUGAGAUCCAUGUGCUCCUCAGUUUUUACUGUGGGAAGGUUUAAAGUGCAGUUAUCCAAAUGCUGACUCACCGAUGAUUACAUCCUUGAACUUUAAAGAGAGCAACUUGACCGGUAGCAUAACACUUGAAUUUGCCAAGCUAACACAGUUGAUAGAGCUAGAUUAUCAAAGAAUGAUUUGUCAGGAGAGAUUCCAUCGUUUUUUGCUGAUAUGAAGUCGUUGAAACUCAUAAAAUUAAAUGGAAAUCCGAAUCUCAAUAGCACCAUUCCAGAUUCUCUUCAGCAAAGAUUAAAGAAAAAUUCUUUAACUCUAAUUUUGAGGGAAACAUAUAGAAAAGAGAGUGAAAAGGUUCCGGUGUUUGCUAUAGCAAUUUCAGUGGCUGGAAUGUUUACUCUGCUGGUCUUCUUGGCUAUCUGAAGAAUAAGACAAAAACAAAGUACGACGAGCUCCACUACCAUCUCCUUUCUUCUACAAAGGUCUUCUCUUCUGCAGUAUCUCAAGUCCGAUGGGAAACCUCAACGUCGUGCCCUCAGCCUCUCUUCCAUGGUGUCCCAAGAGGUCUUUGUGGUGAUUUCAGCCUCUCUUCGUGUCUCCGGUGGACCGUAAAGGGAAGCUGCCACCGCAUCCGAGAUUGGAUCGCCAUUGUUGAACCUUGAAAUUAAGUUUCCUUAAUUUUCACAUGUGGUCCUUGUAAUUUUAAAUAUUUCUACUAUUGUCUUAAAACUUUCAGAUUUGCAAAUAAGUCUUCUUCAGUUAACCUAAAACAUCUGAAUUUUCAUUUUAGACCCUGUUGAAUGAAAUGAAGAAAGAAAUAUACCAAAAACCUCUAAAUACUUCUUUUUAGCAAUCAUACUCAAAAUCAUUAAAAUUAUUAAAAUAUAAUAAUUUGAGAAAUGUACAAAUGAAUAUGUGUACAUGUAUCUUAUAAUAUUGUACACAUGGACAGUAGAAUAUAUUUGUACACGUUGACGAUAUUUGACAUACCGAGUACCUUUCAAUUAUCAUUCAAAAUAUGAUUUUGGGUUUUUAGCUACACAUGUACAUUUUGAAGUUGAUGUACAUAUGUACACCAUGAAAUUGAUGUACGUAUACAAUAUGAGCACUUAGAUGUUACUAUUGCAUCUUAAUUCGUUAAUUUAAAUUAUGUAAGCAUCAUUUAAUUGUUAAUAUUAUAUUUACAUACAUAAUUCCAUAACCAGGGUCUGGAAUGCAUACAUGUGUAAAUUUGUACAUGUUUAUAUGUGUACAUGUGUACAUUUGUACAGGUGUACAUGUUUAUAUGUGUUUAUGUGCAUUGUAUAUCAUUAAAGUAAUGUUCCGUACAAUCAUGUUUUUCCACUAAAACCGCAAAUCACAUUGUCUGGUUAAAAACCUAAAACCCAAAAUCACAUUUUGAAUGAUACUUGAAAGCUACUCAGUGUGUCAAAUAUCAUCAACGUGUACACAUGUAUUCUAUUGUCCACGUGUACAAUAUUAUACCCAAAGAUACAUGUACACGGAUUCUUUUGUACAUUUCUCAAAUUAUGAUAUUUAAUAAUUUUAUGUACAUAUAUGUUAUAUUAUAUUUUGAAUUCAUAUUUACAUAUUAUAGGGAUUGAAUUGUACAAUUAAAAAUUUUUGGACAAUUAAAAGGGAUGCAUUUGAAAAUUUGAUAGUUUGGGCCAAAUUGAUAAUAACAAAUAAAGGACCAAAUGUAAAAAUGUGAGAAAAGCUCCAUUGUUGCCUGAGCUUCACUGUGGAACUCCGGAGCAGAUUCCGACCAUCACACCCACCAUGACAUACUAUCAGAGCCCGAGGAGGCUGAGUUGUACGGAGUACGACGUGGAAGACGAAGCUUGGUCGUCUUGAUUUAUGGCGAAGGAGAAGACAAACCGCAAUCGAACUGAGGUUCAUCAGAGUCACGGAUAAGGACUAGGAAGCACAGCGAAGAGGAACUGUAAAAGAAGAGAAGAUGAGAUUGUGUUUUUGUUUUAUGAACUGAAAAAGAUACAAAAUCUGGAAAAGAAAAGAAGAAAAAGAAGAUGAGAAAUUAGUGGGUCCUACAGAUUGUGUACUAAUUAUACUUUAGUUAGUAAUGGAUGAAAUAUGUUAGUAAAAGUUAAGAAAAAGUGUCCUAAAAGCAGAAACUGUCUUAUUGUGAUAUAAAAAAAACUUAAAACUGUCUAAAAGUGUUAAUAACUCAAAGAAGUUCUACUGAAAUCUUCUGCAAUAGAUUUUGACUCCUUUUUAUUACAGUUUUAUCUAAUUUAAAGUUUCUCUCUCUCUUCUCUCUGUUCCCUAUCUUCAUCUUUCACAGAGAAAGAGGAGAGAUGAAACUUGCUCGCCGGUUCCGUUCACCGGCUUAGGUCUCCCGUGGAUCGGGCACCAGUUCUGACAACGACGUCUUCUUCAGAGUCGAUUGGUCGGCUUUUGGUUCCGACGAUGCACCAGAAGCUCCGGUGUACUCGUUCGCUUCUGGCUCUGAGUCUCACCUUCUUCCGGUGAUGACGUCGGCGUUUCUCCGGGGUUUUCACGGCUUCAGUUUCUUGACUCGAUCUUUUGGGGUUUGUGGUGUUUCGACUGCUACGGUUUGCUCUCGACUAGGGUCGAUUGAUGCUCACCGACUUAUGGUAUUACUGCGACAAAAGACUCGGAGUUGUGGCUUGUUUACUGCCAGAGUCAUCUCGACGGCUUCUUCUCUUCAACGUCCUGUUUCCGGUGUGUCCGGUGGAUCGGCGGCGAGUUGUUCCGGCGAUGACUCUUCAGUCGUGGUGUCGAUGGUUGGUCAACACGUGUAUCUCGUUCGCUCCUCGUUGUUGAGGUUGCAACACGUGUUUUUCCUUUCGUUUGUAUAGUGACUGGUCGAAUGGCAUCUUAUGUUUCGGUUGGUUUUCAGAUGGGCCUUGGGUUUGGGCCUUUUGUUUUUGUUUUGUAUGGCUGUGCCCUUUUGGGUUUGCACCUUUAAUAAUAACUAGAUUCUGACGGGUAUUUUUUGGUUGACCGUAAAGCUAAAUAUUAUUUAAAUUUAAACUUACUAUUAUAUAUCUAUAAUAUUUAAAAGCUGUUAUAUUAUUAUUAUUUUCAUCUGCUCAGUCUUGUACAAUAUUUUCAUUGAAUUUUCAUAUCCGAGUCAGACUUGUAGUCGAACCGAUGGAUCUAUUUACUCGUAUAUAAGUGAGGGUAGGAUAUAAUAAAACGAACAUGGUAAAAAUACCUCACAAUAAUAUUAAUCUUUUUGAGACAAUUGUUUUAUUAGUAGAAAUCUAUAAUAUAAAAUAAAUGAUCUGUUUACAUUUAUUAUUUUUUUCAAUUCUGUUUACAUGUAUUUAUGUAUUAAUUGGUGUUCAAAAUAUUGUAUUUUUUUAAAGAAGUAAUUGAAAGUGGGUCUGAAGUUAAAUGGGAUUAAAAUUGUUUUUAACUUAAAUGGGUUUAGUAGUAAAAAUCGAUUUGUUAAGUUAAGGGCCCAAGCCCAUCAAAAAAUUUGUACCUGCCGACAAGAAAGGAUUAAGAUCGUCUCUUGUUUUGACAGAUUGAAACUCUAAAAAAAAAAAAAUUCGGAGAUGGCGAUUCCCGUCCACUCGUUCCUCUCGGAUUUGAUCUGGUGUUGGGUCCAUGUGAUUUCCGAUGACUUCCGAGUACAAAUCGGUCAGAUUGUAAUACUGAAACAAUACCCGACAAACAUGUUCUUAUUUUUAUAUGCAUGGCAAAUAUGGAUCAAGUCUUUAUUUAGGUGAACAUUAUCAAACGUGAGAAGGAUAUAUUCUAAAAGAGCAGAUGAAUCACCAAACUAAAAAGUCAGAGCAGAUGAAUCACCAAUGUCAAAAGUCAGUGUAUUUACAAUCAAGAUUCAAACUCGUUUUAAAGAGCUGGAAAGGCAUUUAUAAUAUAGACCAUGAUGAUUCAAAGUCAAUAAUAAGGAGAUAAGUCGAACUUUUUAUAAUAUAUUCUUUUAGUAGUUGGGUCAAGUUGCUAACUUUUGAUGAAACAUCCUCUAUGUUGUUAUGCUUAUGGUUCUUAGUUUUGAUUGUAGGAUUUAAAAAACAUAAUCAUCGUAUAGUAAACUGACAUCAACAUCUAUUUGGAGAAGAUCAGAACGCGUAUACACUCCUAUUAUUAACUGUAAGUUGUUCUAAUUACUUGAUAGUAUUGAACAAUAGGAAUGGAACUUUAUCGGUAGUUAGGUAUCAAACCGGAGCUUGCUUGAUUUCUUGAAAUGAAUGAAUGCUUUUAUUGAAAAUAAUAAAACUUGCAAAGCAUUAUAAAUAUUGUUUUCCAAAAUUAAAUACUGUAUGCAACCCAAAUAGAUAGUUCAACAAAAGAAAACAACAAAGUAAAGAUAAAAUCAGAGAUUCUGGAAAAUCUCUUUGAAAACAACGUUCAUUGUUUGUUUCUGAGGCUUUCCCUCAUCGUCCACAAUCAAAAUCGUUAGCCCCUUCUUAGAUGUCACUCUUGAGAUAGCCACGUACAAUUGACCAUGAGAAAACACAGGCCUUGGUAGAUAAAUGCCAACUUCUGAUAGUGAUUGCCCCUGACUCUUAUUAAUUGUAAUGGCAAAAGCCACAGCAAUAAGUAGUUGCCUCUUUUUCAUCUUGAAAGGCAACUUUUUGUCAGUAGGGGUAAUAGCAAGCCUAGGAAUAAGAACAAUUCGCCCAACCUUAUCUCCUGUAAUCACUUUCGCCUUAAUCACAAAAUCAUACAUCUCUGUAAUCUGAAGUCGAGUCCCAUUCAUUAAUCCGCCAGUAGGAUCUAUGUUUCUUAGCAACAUUAUAGGACAACCGAUUUUCAAAUGAAGACUGUGAUUUGGCAAACCUGAUACUUUGAUGGUGUUUAAAAAAUCUGGAGUGAGAGCUUGGUCACUUUUCCCAAAUUUAUCAGAAGCAUCAAUCGAAUCAGAACUUGCGUAGAUUCUUUCCUCACCUGUUAAAAAAAAAACAGACAAAUUAAUCAAUCAACUGCGAUCAAAUAUAUAAGAACAAUAGAUUAUAAAUUAUGAGAAAAAUAACAAACCAUCAAGGCUAUCCAACAUGUGCUGAUUAAUCUUGUCUACAUCUUCAUUAGUAGGACAAAGUAUAGCUCUUUCUUGAAAAAACUUAGGCUCUUUAUUCUGCUGCAAAGAUAUUGAAUCCCCAUAAACAGCUUUGCUUAUAGAAUCAAUUGGAUCAUUUGCAUCAAGAAUAAGAAACUCCUCUGGAAUAUCGAUUAAAGCCUCUCCAUCGUUACCUUGCCCAAUGUUUCCAUCUCCAACAUCUAAUAUCCACUGAGAAAACUCAUGUAAAUCUUUUGCUUCUUCAGGAGACAAAUUGUUGGACAUUAGCCUCAUGUUCUUUGUUAGUCUCAACACUUUUACAUGCUUCCAAAGAUAAGAGGAAUUUAAAGAAGCCAAAACAAUUUCAGCUCUUCCUGCUCCAUGAAUGACAGGCAACACUUGUCUAAAAUCCCCUCCUAGGACAACUACUUUUCCAGCAAAAGGUAAAUUGUCCUUGUUCCCAAUAAUGUCAGUCAAGCUUCUAUCCAAUGAUUCGAAACAAUGCUUGCUCAUCAUUGGUGCCUCGUCCCAGAUGAUCAAAGAAGAUUCUUUAAUCAAAUUUGCUUGAUCAGAUCCUUUAAUUAGUGUGCAAGUUGAAAAAUCAUCUGGGUUGAUUGGUAUUCCAAAUCUAGAAUGUGCUGUCCUUCCUCCUGGUAGAAGUAGUGAAGCUAUCCCACUUGAUGCAACAUUCAAACAAAUUCUCCUUUGUAUCUAAUAGCAGCAGACAACAUUCUCCACAAGAAAGUUUUUCCAGUUCCACCAAAGCCAUACACAAAAAAAACGCCUCCUUUCUUCUCUAUGACAGCACUAAGAACCUCAUCAUAAAUCUUUCUUUGUUCGUCUGUCAUUUUAACAAAGUUCUGAUCAUGAUCAGCUUUUAACUGCUCUCUGUCAUAAGCAAGCUCAUCCAUAAUCAAGACAUUCUCCUUAUGAGUUAGAUCAGAUAUUGGCUUUGGCAUUUUCUCCCAGGCUUCCAGAGAAGUACCAUUCCUCUUCAAAAUCUUCUCAAUCUCGUGAAGAGUAAGCUGUUUUAUCUCCUCGUCAGUCGAACAUAGAUCUACAUAACAAAAAUAACCAUAUUCAAACUUUUAAAGUUACUCAGGAAUAAUAGGAGUGUAUUAUGCUAACGAUUUUGAAAAGCUAAUCAUACCUGGUCUGUUUAAUAGCUUCCUACGACGAUACAAAAUGUCAUCAGAUAGAAAUUCCCAAGUGUUUUCCCAAACAACUUCUGGCUUCGAUAGACUAUUUGACAUGAGCAUGAUCACAAAACACUGGCGCAUAUAUGAUGCUGAACCUGUAAAACUUGUCCUCACAAUAUCGUCAAUAUAUUCUUGAUCAUCUUCCAACAAACCCCGAGCAAAGCACGUCUCUUUGUAAUCUGGAUACUGAACAUUGUUAAAUGUUUUGAUUUCCUCAAAAGAUGUAGGACCCCUUACAAUGUUCAGCAAGACUCUAAGGUAGUAGGCCUGUUCUAUUUUCCGUGGUGCGUAGUUGAUUCUGCCAAUACUGUAUCCUCUCUUUCUAUCAGUAAACUUCCGCUGUUUUUUAUUCCAAAUAAACUUUGUUGGAAUUUCAGCUAGAGUCAUCUUCCUUGCAACCUCACUGAUUUUGUUUAGUUCAAACCAUCCCAUGAACAUUGUAUUCUCGAUAAGCACGUGACUGGUAACUUCAUCAUAGGUGUCAUCAUCUUUGAAAAUGACAAUCUGCUUUCCCGGUAAAUGAAAUUGUAUCCUCUCAACUGGCAUGGAUCGAUGGUGUAUAUUAAACUUAAAUGUUCUCCAUGCACCUUCCGAAGCAGAUACAUAUCUGCAUAUGCGUGUCAAAAAUAUUUAGUUAGCCAUAACUACUCAACGUAGUCAAAGUUUAGAAAUGUCAUAGUUUGUUCCAUAGAUAUACGAAACUAAUAUUCAUGUACCUGCAGUUGAAGAAAUCCUUAAUUUCAUUUUUUUUCUCUUCUGUUACUGCUCCAUCAGUACCGCUAGUCGCAGUUGAAGGAUUUUCCACGGCUACAGUACAACGAUCUUGUCCUUUAUUAAUAUACUUAAAUAAGUAUUUGAUUGAACCAGUCUGAUUACACCAUUCGACAUUGAUGUGAGCUCGAUAACGAAGCGACAGAUCUCUGUUAUAAGGAAUGACAUAUCUGUUGUCACAUUUGAAGCCAUGUUUCUCAAUGAAGCGAUCAGGCUGUUCUCUUCUUCUGUAGAUAGGAAAUCCUUCUUUGUUGACAGUAGUCUUCUCAACGUGAGUUUUAGGAUAUAGCUUAGAGCAUUUUCCAUUCUCCAUGCAAGGGGACUUCAUGUUAACAGCUCCACAAGGACCAUGAAUCAUCAUAUCUUUCACAACUUCGUAAAGCUCCGGGUCUUUCUCUUUAUCUGGAAUUUCAGCCGAAAUGAUCCUAUCAAUGUCUGCAGUAGUCGAAAAUUUUGACCCAGGAGCCAUAAAUAGCAGAAUCCAAAGGUGGUGUUGAAUUCACUCACUUAAUGUCUCUAAGUGUAAACUCCAACUUUUUCCUUUCUUUUCCUCCAGUACAAUGAACUGUAUCAAGAUCACCCAAGUCCAAAACCUGUCCAAUUAAAUCUGAAAAAAAAACACAAUGCAUAUGAUUAUCUAUCAAACUUUGCUAAUAUAAUCAAAACUUUAAAUAUAUCGAAAAUGAAAUACCAAUAAGGAUGUUCGUAUUAUGCUUGCCAGUUAGUAUGGUUUCAAAAUCAACCAAAUCCAGAAAAUUAUCAACAAUCCGGAGAGUUGACUCCGAGAUGUCCGUGUUGUGAAGGAAAUUCAUUUUCAAAGGAUUUUUGGUUGUUCGAAAUGUACGGGGAGCAUUCGUCAAACUGAAGUUAUCAAUGUUGAUCCACUCUCCAACAGGAACUUUCGUAGCCAACUCAUCCAUGUAAGUCUUCUUACACGAUGCAUGAAUUUUUGUACCCUAAAAAUACCAUAGAUUCAAAAUUUACGUUGAUUAGAAUAUAGACAAAAAUCUUGAAAAUAACAAAAACAUAUAAAGAAUAACACACUUACAUGAGCAUCAGAAAGGACUAAUUCGAGUGAGUCACCAGCCAUUUUAGUCCAUUGUCUCCAUGAAUGCAGAACUUUGACUUGUACCCGAUAAGAUGUAAAACGUGGUUUGAUAUCGUUCAAGAAGGUAAUCUGCAUAUUGUUAACCAUGAUUUUCUGAAUCAUUUUUUCUUUUCUUGUGAGGAGUUUGAGUUUGAUUUUGAUAAAGAUGGAUGUUAAAGGGUUGAGAGUAAGAUUGUAUUUAUAAUAUAGGAGGGGUUUAUAGUCGAUCAACCAUAAUUGAAUAUUUUGUAAUCAAAUUGGUUAUCUUAUUUUAAGGAAUAAAAUCUAAGCAAGCAUCAAUUAGUUAUUUUGGUUGAUAGAUUUUAGGUAAAUUGUGUAGUUAGCCGUAAUAAAUAAACUUGUAGAGGAAGGAAUUUAGAAUAUUGGUUAAGGUAAUUACGUGAUUGAGAAUAAUAGCAUUGAUUCUUAAUAAUGAUUAUUUAAACGUGAUAUUAAUCAAUAAUAUCCUGUGGAGGAAGGAAUUAAGAUUUUUGGUUUAGGUAAUUAUGGGAUUGAGAAUAUAUACUAUUGAUUUUUUUGUUUACAAAAUCACUAUUGAUUCUUAAACGUGAUCAAUAUUCAAAAAAAUCUUCGAAUAUAUACACUUAGCAUAUUUAUUUUUCUCUUCGUGAUCAUUUCGUAUCAAUGUAAAUAAAUGUUAGUUACCGUAUUUAUAGGAAUAAAAUCUAAGCUUUUAAAAUUUUUUGUUGUUGACAAUAAUAAAUAAACUUGUAGAGGAAGUAAUGAAGAUAUUUUGCUUUCACUUAGCAUAUUCGUUAGUUUUUCAGAGUUCACAUUUAUUUAGUUGUUAAUUCUUCUAUAGUUAUUUUGCUUUCUAAACUUAUGAUAAAUUGUCUACUCAAAUAUAAGCAAGAGAUAAAAGCAAGUCAUUUCUAUAGUUAUUUUGCUUCCUAAACUUAUGAUAAACUUGUAGAGGAAGCAUUGUAGUUGUUUUGCUUCCACUUAGUAUAUUCGUUUGUUAUUCAGAUUUCACAUUUAUUGAGUUGUGUUUCGUGCUUCAAACCGCAAUUUUAAUGCCCCUUUAUUAUUAAUAUAAAUUUAUGACAAAAUAAAAUCCCCCUUUGUGUUUCGUGAUAUUUUAUUGUUUGACAAAAUCAAAUUGUAAAUCUUCAUAAGAAAACAAAGGAAAAGUACAAAUGCAUUUUCCUCUCACGUACUAAUAAUAUAAUCUUCAUAAGAAAACAAAUGAAAAGUACAUUUAGAAUAUUCUUCAAAUCUCGAUGUUUGCUUCCCAGGUAAGAGAUAUUGGAUUCCAAACAAAAUUACAUUUGGCACAGCAAUCUGGAUUAUCAUUAUCUUCUACUUCAAUAAUAUCCUUGUUAUUUUCCAUCCAAACCAUAAACUUGUUGUUUUCUGAGGUUGUGGACAAAUCUUUUUGUUUUGUGGAGAGCUGAAACAUAUAAGAAAACCAUAAUAAGAGAUCUGAAUAUAUAAUGAAAGUAAACAUGUUAGCCGCGAUUUCUAAACACAUAGUCCCAUAGUUCAACCAUGUAAAAAUGUAAUACCUUAUCAUGAGGGGGAGAUGAGGAUUGCAAUGACUUAAAAAAACAGGAUAUGAACCACUUUAGCAUUUUUUGGUUUCCUUGGGUCUGAGCCUCGGGUUUUAUGUUUUUGAUAUUGGUGAUAUAUGUGAUGCUCUUGAGUUUGGUGAGAGGUGGGUUAUAUAGGAUAUGAGAUGGCGAUUUCUGGUUAGAUAAUAGUCUAUUUUAUUAAAAUGAAAUUUAAAGUAGAUGUCAACUUAGAAUAUUCUUUUCGAAUUAUUUGGGUUACAAAGGUCGUAGAUGCUGUUAUAAUAGAUAUGGUUAGACCAAAAAAUGAAAAAAGGAAAAGGUUCAAAAUGACUUUCAUAGGUAGAUUUAUUUAAACUCCUUCUCUUUUAAUAGUAUAGAUUUCAGACGGAAAAAGAAAGAAAAAAAAAAAAGAAAUCUUCUGCAAUAUCAGCUCCAGUUUUUCGUAUGUCUUGUUUUAAAAUUCCACAACAGACGAUAGCAGAACUUACAGGUGUUGUGUCACAAUUUUGGUGGGACACGUUACCAACUACAAAAGGCAUCCCUUGGCUGGCAUGGCAACGUAUGCAGUUUCCAAAAAGUCAAGGUGGUCUUGGUUUCAAGAAUCUUGGGAAAUUCAAUAAUGCUUGGCGUCUCGUAUCAUAUCCAAACUCCCCUCUGGCUAAGCUUCUAAAAGUUUGCUAUUAUAGAGAUACUCAUCUCUUACAUGCCAAAACUAAAAAAUAUGAAAAAUCAUAUGAGCCGUACGAGCUUUUUAUAGCUGCCCGAAGAGAAAACUAGAAAAAUAAAGUUAUUUAAAAAUAUAUCAAGAUUAAUAAUUAGUAUCAUUAUUGAGAAAAAACACAAUUGUUACAUAACAAACAACUAAAAAAGUUAGCAAAAAUAGUUAUAAAAUAUAACAUUUUAUAUUCAUAAAAACCAUAACCAAAAUAAUCAAGUGACUCAAUGUUCUUAAUUGAUAUAUUCAAACGAAAAUAAAUGUAUUACUAUACAAACUUAAAAUAAUUAUACACUAAAUAGAACUACGAAUUUGAGAUAAAUAUUGAGAUAGGAUAUAUUAUACUUAGAAGUGAUAACCACCAAAAUACGAGAAGACAAUGUUGAUAGCUUGUAAUCUUCUAGUUAUGUAAAUUUUAAUUAUUUAUUAUUUGUCCCAGUUAAACAAAAUUGAUUUAAAACAAAAGUAUAUAAAGUUUAGGG